AGCGCGGGUGAUUUUGCUUCUUUAUCUCUGAUCUGCAGGGGACCCCACAGAUUCCUCGAAGAAGUAUAUCUCUCCCGCUCCGCCUCUCCCAGCCCUCUGGGGUCCCACGGGCUCUGCACUGCCGGGCGCUAGGACCCCGCGGGGAGCGGAGGGAAUUGGGAGGCGGCUGCGGCCGGGGAUCCAGGAGGACCCGGCCGGUUCCUCCGCUUGGGCUGGAAAACUUUUUCUUUUUAAUUACUUCUCCUAGCCGGGGCGCUAGGGUUGCUAGGCGCGCGGGGCUGGCGCUGCCACCCGCCCCUGGGCCGCCAGUUUCUUCCUGGCGGGACGGGCCGAGCUGGAUUCCAGGGCUAGAGUACCGGGAGAGAAGGCAGAAUGUACAAGCCAGGAACAGAGCUCCCACCAGAACCUGACCAUGCCAGCACCCCGAUCUCAGACUUCCAGCUUCCAGAACUGGGCCAGAGGAGAGAAGAGGCUCUGUCCCUGGCUGUCCUUUGUACAAGGGAGAAAAUCAGCAACAGAGCUUAAUGGAUGUAAGAUCGGUCACUGGAAGCAGGACUAAUUAAGAUAAUUAUGAGGCCUAAUGAAGAUAAGACAAAAGACAAGAACUACACUUUCCAGGACAAUUUGUGCUCUGACUAGGGGCCAUGAGUAUCUCAUACAAUAUGUCUAACACAGAGAUUCAGUAAAAUACCCCCAAAGAUCCUC